UCCGAUCGUGAUCGGGGUGGGCGGAGCGAGUCUGCACUCUGCAGCCACAGUACGAACUUCCCGGCACAGAAACAGAAACAGCUCGAGAGAUGGCGGGCUAGGAUGGCGGGGCGGCCGCUCCCUGCUCGCGGAGGGACGCGCGCAUUGACCAGGCCGUGCUGUUGUCUAAGCGACGCGCUGCGGGCGGCGCACGGGAGGAUGCGGCUCGGGAGCAGCUAGGGUUCCGCGACUACCAGGUCGCUCUCUAGGUGAUGUCAUGGAGCAAGAGAGUCCUAUUCUUACCAAUGGAAUGAUACAGCUCUUCAUGGUUUCCGUUACAUCGACUUCGUCUUGUAGCAUCACUGGAUCAAUGAUCUCAUGAGUCUUCUUUGGAAAUGCUCUAUCCACGAAGCUAUGCAGGAUUUGUUACAGGUGGUCGCGAACCUCGUGGGAAUAAACACCCGAUUCAUAAUUAAAUUCUGACUCGGAGAUCAUACACAAAUGUGGCCAUGGAGAAGCAAUUAUUGGAUCGUCUAUGCGCAGCGAAGCACUUCUUUUCUAAGCAUUUUCUUGCUUAUUAUUAAAAACAUUUUGUCCUUUGCCUGUAUGUGUGGUGAUCUUGUUUACGCGUCAAUAUAAUGAUCGUGUCACGUGUGCAAUGUUUUUUGCCACUCUUAAAUGUAAGCACACUUGUUUACCACUUGUCUUCGUUUUUUUCUCCAUGAUAGAAGA